GCAGGCUUAACACAUGCAAGUCGAGGGGUAACGAUGGUGCUUGCACCAGGCGACGACCGGCGCACGGGUGAGUAACGCGUAUGCAACCUACCUCUAACUGGGGCAUAGCUCUCGGAAACGGGAAUUAAUAUCCCAUAAUAUCAUAAAUUCGCAUGUUUUUAUGAUUAAAGCUCCGGCGGUUAGAGAUGGGCAUGCGUGCCAUUAGCUUGUUGGUGAGGUAACAGCUCACCAAGGCUACGAUGGCUAGGGGGUCUGAGAGGAUGGUCCCCCACACUGGUACUGAGACACGGACCAGACUCCUACGGGAGGCAGCAGUGAGGAAUAUUGGUCAAUGGACGCAAGUCUGAACCAGCCAUGCCGCGUGCAGGAUGAAUGCCCUAUGGGUUGUAAACUGCUUUUAUACAGGAAGAAACUUCCGAUCGUGAUCGGGACUGACGGUACUGUACGAAGCAUCGGCUAACUCCGUGCCAGCAGCCGCGGUAAUACGGAGGAUGCAAGCGUUAUCCGGAUUUAUUGGGUUUAAAGGGUGCGUAGGCGGAUGAAUAAGUCAGUGGUGAAAUCCUGCAGCUUAACUGUAGAAUUGCCAUUGAUACUGUUUUUCUUGAGUAUAGUUGAGGUGGGCGGAAUGUGUAAUGUAGCGGUGAAAUGCUCAGAUAUUACACAGAACUCCAAUCGCGUAGGCAGCUCACUAAGCUAUUACUGACGCUGAGGCACGAAAGCGUGGGGAGCGAACAGGAUUAGAUACCCUGGUAGUCCACGCUGUAAACGAUGAUCACUCGUUGUUGGCGAUACACAGUCAGUGACCAAGCGAAAGCAUUAAGUGAUCCACCUGGGGAGUACGGUCGCAAGAUUGAAACUCAAAGGAAUUGACGGGGGCCCGCACAAGCGGAGGAACAUGUGGUUUAAUUCGAUGAUACGCGAGGAACCUUACCUGGGCUUAAAUGCAGAACGACAGAUUGGGAAACUGAUCUUUCUUCGGACGGACUGCAAGGUGCUGCAUGGUUGUCGUCAGCUCGUGCCGUGAGGUGUCGGGUUAAGUCCCAUAACGAGCGCAACCCUUAUCGUUAGUUACCAGCGAGUAAUGUCGGGAACUCUAACGAAACUGCCGGUGUAGACCGUGAGGAAGGUGGGGAUGACGUCAAAUCAGCACGGCCCUUAUGUCCAGGGCUACACACGUGUUACAAUGGUCAGUACAAAGGGCAGCUACCUGGUGACAGGAUGCUAAUCUCGAAAACUGGUCUCAGUUCGGAUCGAAGUCUGCAACUCGACUUCGUGAAGCUGGAUUCGCUAGUAAUCGCGCAUCAGCCAUGGCGCGGUGAAUACGUUCCCGGGCCUUGUACACG
rnacentral:rRNA from 1 species